rnacentral:rRNA from 1 species
AUUGAACGCUGGCGGCAGGCUUAACACAUGCAAGUCGAGCGGAGUGAUGGUGCUUGCACUAUCACUUAGCGGCGGACGGGUGAGUAAUGCUUAGGAAUCUGCCUAUUAGUGGGGGACAACAUCUCGAAAGGGAUGCUAAUACCGCAUACGUCCUACGGGAGAAAGCAGGGGAUCACUUGUGACCUUGCGCUAAUAGAUGAGCCUAAGUCGGAUUAGCUAGUUGGUGGGGUAAAGGCCUACCAAGGCGACGAUCUGUAGCGGGUCUGAGAGGAUGGUCCGCCACACUGGGACUGGGACACGGCCCAGACUCCUACGGGAGGCAGCAGUGGGGAAUAUUGGACAAUGGGGGGAACCCUGAUCCAGCAAUGCCGCGUGUGUGAAGAAGGCCUUAGGGUUGUAAAGCACUUUUGUUAGGGAGGAAGGAGUGUGUGCUAAUAGUACACAUGACAGACGUUACCUAAAGAAUAAGCACCGGCUAACUCUGUGCCAGCCGCCGCGGUAA